CGCACGGGUGAGUAACACGUAUCCAACCUGCCGUCUACUCUUGGACAGCCUUCUGAAAGGAAGAUUAAUACAAGAUGGCAUCAUGAGUCCGCAUGUUCACAUGAUUAAAGGUAUUCCGGUAGACGAUGGGGAUGCGUUCCAUUAGAUAGUAGGCGGGGUAACGGCCCACCUAGUCUUCGAUGGAUAGGGGUUCUGAGAGGAAGGUCCCCCCACAUUGGAACUGAGACACGGUCCAAACUCCUACGGGAGGCAGCAUG
rnacentral:rRNA from 1 species